rnacentral:lncRNA from 1 species
UCAGCCUCACUCAGUCGACCCUGGGAGUAUAACCAACGAGGUGAUUCAGGAAUGAAUCUGAAAGAGAUGUCAUUAAAGCCUGUAUAUUCAUAUAGGUACACGUGCACAGGAAGGAGACAAAUCACCUACUCAGUACGUGGAUUCCUGCACCACAAAUGGGAUUCCAUGUUAGACUUAAAGUUUGACUCUCCCAAUAACAUAUGAAAGGGCUACUUUCAACAGCAUGCUAACAUUAAAUGGUAGUCUACUUUAUCACUGAAAACCAAGAACAUGCUUUACAAUUGCAGUUUAAAAAGCAAACAGUAUGCAUUUAUUUUUAAAUAAAUUUUAAUAUGUGAAUUUUAAUAUGUUAAAUAUUAACAUAUUAUUCAGUCUAUAGGACUGAAUAAUGAAAAUUCUUCAUAAAGCACAGGUCAAAGAUAUGGCUCUAAAUCCUAGCCAAGUGUUGUUUGAAAAUACUGUAGAGAUUAUCUUAAGACUACACAUAAAGAUGAAACCAAGUUUACCAAAGCUACUUUUGAGUGUUUACUGCUUCAAAAUACUCAAAUCACCUGACACACUGGCUUUAAUAUGUCCUGAGGAUAUUUCCUGAUCCCCCAAGACCUUAAAGAAUAGAAGUUAUUUCCUGACCAACUUCUAGUUACAAAACAACAGUUAUUUUCUAAUGUAACUACAAAGUGUUGGAUAAUUAUAUUGCCAUUGAUAUAUUCAAAGAGUUUCAAAACUUAAAUAUUAUGUAUCUUUUUGCCUCUUCCCCAUUUUACCUACACUUUCAGAGGACUUUCCAAAGACAAAACCAAGGCAGGAAUAUGGAAGCCUUGUUUACAAGACACAAAUCAAGGUUGUUUUUUUUUUAAAUCUAAUUUGACAUUAUCUGCCUAAAAUGAAACUUAGAUGAAUAAAACUGGCUAUUUACGGUGCUUUAUAGAAUUCACUGUGCCUUCUAAUAAGGAUAGUGAAUUAGGAACAAACACUACAGGAUUUGGAAACUUAAUGGACAGCCAGUCUGUCAACAGCCAUUUAUUGAGCAUUUCAAUUUUGUACAGAGUAAUGUAAUGGUGCUGAAAGGAAAGAUGCUGGAAACCAAAAGGCAGGAGUUUUCCCAGGAGCUUUGCUACUGAGGAAAGGAAUAUUCACGCACAAUAUUUGACUGUCAGCAAAAGCAGGAACAAAGGCCAUCUAUAACAUCCUGAAAAAUCCUUCCAUUUACUUCUUCAUUGCCAUUUGAUUAUUAUUACGGACAAACAAAUAAAUAAUCAAGUAAAACAUUGUUCUGUUGAAGUUAGGUCUGCAGGUUAUGAGUAGGAUUUAUUGGCCCUAUCCAUAGGGGCAUAUAGGAGCUAUUACGUAAAACCACUUGAUUAUGUCUAAAUGAAAGAGGACUACUGUGAUAAAUAUUGAGAGAAAAUAUAUGAUAAUAAAAAUUAUUUUGGGGAGGAUUGGGAGGAAUAAAAAAGAAACAACAGAAAAUACGCCAAAAUAUUCACAGUCAUUAUCUUUGGGUUAUAUGUCAUUUUCUCCUACCCUUAGCCUCUCUGUGUUUUCAAAAUUGUUUAUAAGCAAUAAAAAUUACUUUUAAAACUUUAU